rnacentral:ncRNA from 2 species
AUAAAUUUGCAGGAAAAAGAUGCAUUAUGCAUAAAUGGGAAUUCGGUGUAAAUCCGAAGCUAUUUCCGUAACUGUAAGCGUUGAUGAAAAUAAGUGUAAGACCACUGCUAAUAUAGCGGGAAGGUACUUAUGAGUAAAGUGAAACGCAGAGCCAGGAGACCAAUCUUUUUCUUAUCGUAACA